CUGACUGCCUGUGCGGCUCUCCAAUCAAUCAGUCGUACAGAGUAUGUGUAAGGAGGAAAAAACCAGGCCCGGGCUCGGGCUGCGGCAGCGUUGGAGACCUGCCGCAACGCGGCGCAUCCCAUGCGCGGAUGGCCGUGAGGGCGUUCCUUGCGGAGGCAGAACGUCCGGAGCCGAAGAAAAUGGCG
rnacentral:ncRNA from 1 species